UUGGCUCAGGAUGAACGCUGGCGGCGUGCUUAACACAUGCAAGUCGAACGAGACGAUUGAAAGCUUGCUUUUGAAAGUCGAGUGGCAAACGGGUGAGUAACGCGUAGACAACCUGCCGCAAAGAUGGGGACAACAGUCCGAAAGGACUGCUAAUACCGAAUGUUGUCAGUUUCUCGCAUGGGAGACUGAUUAAAGAUGGCCUCUACUUGUAAGCUAUCGCUUUGUGAUGGGUCUGCGUCUGAUUAGCUAGUUGGUGGGGUAACGGCCUACCAAGGCGACGAUCAGUAGCCGGUCUGAGAGGAUGAACGGCCACAUUGGAACUGAGACACGGUCCAGACUCCUACGGGAGGCAGCAGUGGGGAAUA
rnacentral:rRNA from 1 species